rnacentral:lncRNA from 1 species
GUUUUAUUUAUUUAUUUAUUUAUUUAUUUAUGAGUGGGGCUGGGGCUCCGGAAGGUGAAAGAUGCAGGAUGCGAAGCAAGAGAAUGGUCAAGCUAGCGGCCCGACGUCGGGGCAAUGGUGAAGACAGUAACUAGGCAGUUAUUACUUGGUGCCCAAGAGAACCAAGACACUACCCUCGGCCAAGACCAUCAACUGCAGAGCUCUGGGCCAUGUCUGGAGCUCACCCUGUCAAGCACCCAUGGUUUGCCAGGCUCAGAGCCACAGCUGUUUGCUGACCUGGUUCCUGCGUGUAGCCUGUACAGGCUCAGGGACAACAGGGACAGCUUCAGGAAGUGAGCGGCAAAGAGAAUGACUUUAUACAAGGCCUCUACAUACUCGCCAAGCCCACUGCGUCCCACUGCGUGUGGGUCACGCCCCUACCCUGAAGCACUUGAGGGCUGCUCCAGGGCAGAGCAGCCGGCAGCCAAUGGCAGAGCAGAGGGACUAAAUGGUACAGACAGAAACUGAAGUGGCUGAGGGUGGGGUGCUCCACACUCGGAAGGAGCCGGCAGAAGGAGGCCGACCGUGGACAGAAGGAAAA